GAUGAACGCUGGCGGCGUGCCUAACACAUGCAAGUCGAACGGACUUAUAACGAAACCUAGUGAAUUAUAAGUUAGUGGCGGACGGGUGAGUAACGCGUGGAAAACCUGCCGUAUACUGGGGGAUAACACUUAGAAAUAGGUGCUAAUACCGCAUAAGCGCACAGCUUCGCAUGAAGCAGUGUGAAAAACUCCGGUGGUAUACGAUGGUUCCGCGUCUGAUUAGCUAGUUGGUGAGGUAAAAGCCCACCAAGGCAACGAUCAGUAGCCGGCCUGAGAGGGUGAACGGCCACAUUGGGACUGAGACACGGCCCAG
rnacentral:rRNA from 1 species